rnacentral:tRNA from 1 species
GGUCUGGUGGUCUAGUGGUAUGAUUCUCGCUUAGGGUCAACCCUAUAGCUCCGCUUGCGAGAGGUCCCGGGUUCAAUCCCCGGCCAGACCC